rnacentral:rRNA from 1 species
AUACAUGCAAGUCGAGCGAGCUGAACCAACAGAUUCACUUCGGUGAUGACGUUGGGAACGCGAGCGGCGGAUGGGUGAGUAACACGUGGGGAACCUGCCCCAUAGUCUGGGAUACCACUUGGAAACAGGUGCUAAUACCGGAUAAGAAAGCAGAUCGCAUGAUCAGCUUAUAAAAGGCGGCGUAAGCUGUCGCUAUGGGAUGGCCCCGCGGUGCAUUAGCUAGUUGGUAGGGUAACGGCCUACCAAGGCAAUGAUGCAUAGCCGAGUUGAGAGACUGAUCGGCCACAUUGGGACUGAGACACGGCCCAAACUCCUACGGGAGGCAGCAGUAGGGAAUCUUCCACAAUGGACGAAAGUCUGAUGGAGCAACGCCGCGUGAGUGAAGAAGGUUUUCGGAUCGUAAAGCUCUGUUGUUGGUGAAGAAGGAUAGAGGUAGUAACUGGCCUUUAUUUGACGGUAAUCAACCAGAAAGUCACGGCUAACUACGUGCCAGCAGCCGCGGUAAUACGUAGGUGGCAAGCGUUGUCCGGAUUUAUUGGGCGUAAAGCGAGCGCAGGCGGAAGAAUAAGUCUGAUGUGAAAGCCCUCGGCUUAACCGAGGAACUGCAUCGGAAACUGUUUUUCUUGAGUGCAGAAGAGGAGAGUGGAACUCCAUGUGUAGCGGUGGAAUGCGUAGAUAUAUGGAAGAACACCAGUGGCGAAGGCGGCUCUCUGGUCUGCAACUGACGCUGAGGCUCGAAAGCAUGGGUAGCGAACAGGAUUAGAUACCCUGGUAGUCCAUGCCGUAAACGAUGAGUGCUAAGUGUUGGGAGGUUUCCGCCUCUCAGUGCUGCAGCUAACGCAUUAAGCACUCCGCCUGGGGAGUACGACCGCAAGGUUGAAACUCAAAGGAAUUGACGGGGGCCCGCACAAGCGGUGGAGCAUGUGGUUUAAUUCGAAGCAACGCGAAGAACCUUACCAGGUCUUGACAUCUAGUGCAAUCCGUAGAGAUACGGAGUUCCCUUCGGGGACACUAAGACAGGUGGUGCAUGGCUGUCGUCAGCUCGUGUCGUGAGAUGUUGGGUUAAGUCCCGCAACGAGCGCAACCCUUGUCAUUAGUUGCCAGCAUUAAGUUGGGCACUCUAAUGAGACUGCCGGUGACAAACCGGAGGAAGGUGGGGAUGACGUCAAGUCAUCAUGCCCCUUAUGACCUGGGCUACACACGUGCUACAAUGGACAGUACAACGAGGAGCAAGCCUG